GACGAACGCUGGCGGCGUGCCUAAUACAUGCCAGUAGAACGCACAGUUUAUACCGUAGCUUGCUACACAAUAAACUGUGAGUUGCGAACGGGUGAGUAACGCGUAGGUAACCUGCCUGGUAGCGGGGGAUAACUAUUGGAAACGAUAGCUAAUACCGCAUAAUAUUGAUUAUUGCAUGAUAAUUGAUUGAAAGAUGCUAUUGCAUCACUACCAGAUGGUCCUGCGUUGUAUUAGCUAGUAGGUGAGGUAACGGCUCACCUAGGCGACGAUACAUAGCCGACCUGAGAGGGUGAUCGGCCACACUGGGACUGAGACACGGCCCAGACUCCUACGGGAGGCAGCAGUAGGGAAUCUUCGGCAAUGGACGAAAGUCUGACCGAGCAACGCCGCGUGAGUGAAGAAGGUUUUCGGAUCGUAAAGCUCUGUUGUAAGAGAAGAACGGGUGUGAGAGUGGAAAGUUCACACUGUGACGGUAUCUUACCAGAAAGGGACGGCUAACUACGUG
rnacentral:rRNA from 1 species